GUCCAGACUCCUACGGGAGGCAGCAGUGGGGAAUAUUGCACAAUGGGGGAAACCCUGAUGCAGCAACGCCGCGUGGGUGAAGGAGCGUUUCGGCGCGUAAAGCCCUGUCAGCGGGGAAGAAGAAAGACGGUACCCGACCAAGAAGCCCCGGCUAACUACGUGCCAGCAGCCGCGGUAAUACGUAGGGGGCAAGCGUUAUCCGGAUUUACUGGGUGUAAAGGGAGCGUAGACGGCAGAGCAAGUCUGAAGUGAAAGCCCGCGGCCCAACUGCGGGACUGCUCUUGGAACUGUGCGGCUGGAGUGCGGGAGGGGCAGGCGGAAUUCCUGGUGUAGCGGUGAAAUGCGUAGAUAUCAGGAGGAACACCGGCGGCGAAGGCGGCCUGCUGGACCGCGACUGACGUUGAGGCUCGAAAGCGUGGGGAGCAAACAGGAUUAGAUACCCGAGUAC
rnacentral:rRNA from 1 species